rnacentral:rRNA from 1 species
AAUAGAUACCCUGGUAGUCCACGCCGUAAACGAUGAGUGCUAAGUGUUAGAGGGUUUCCGCCCUUUAGUGCUGCAGCUAACGCAUUAAGCACUCCGCCUGGGGAGUACGGCCGCAAGGCUGAAACUCAAAGGAAUUGACGGGGGGCCCGCACAAGCGGUGGAGCAUGUGGUUUAAUUCGAAGCAACGCGAAGAACCUUACCAGGUCUUGACAUCCUCUGCUAACCCUAGAGAUAGGGCGUUCCCCUUCGGGGGACAGAGUGACAGGUGGUGCAUGGUUGUCGUCAGCUCGUGUCGUGAGAUGUUGGGUUAAGUCCCGCAACGAGCGCAACCCUUGAUCUUAGUUGCCAGCAUUCAGUUGGGCACUCUAAGGUGACUGCCGGUGACAAACCGGAGGAAGGUGGGGAUGACGUCAAAUCAUCAUGCCCCUUAUGACCUGGGCUACACACGUGCUACAAUGGAUGGUACAAAGAGCUGCGAACCCGCGAGGGUAAGCCAAUCUCAUAAAGCCAUUCUCAGUUCGGAUUGU